rnacentral:rRNA from 1 species
GAUGAACGCUGGCGGCGUGCCUAAUACAUGCAAGUCGAGCGAACAGACGAGGAGCUUGCUCCUCUGACGUUAGCGGCGGACGGGUGAGGAACACGUGUAUAACCUACCUAUAAGACUGGGAUAACUUCGGGAAACCGGAGCUAAUACCGGAUAAUAUAUUGAACCGCAUGGUUCAAUAGUGAAAGACGGUUGUGCUGUCACUUAUAGAUGGAUCAGCGCCGCAUUAGCUAGUAGGUAAGGUAACGGCUUACGAAGGCAACGAUGCGUAGCCGACCUGAACGCGUGAUCGGCCACACUGGAGAUGAGGCACGGUCCCGACUCCGACGCGAGGGCGCAGCCGAGAAUCUUACGCAAUGGGCGAGAGCCUGAUGGGACAACGCCGCGUAAAUGAUGAAGGUCUUAGGCCCGUAAAGCUAUGUUAUUAGGGAAGAUCAAAUGUGUAAGUAACUAUGCAGGUCUUGACGGUACCUUAAUAAGAAGCCCCGGCUAACUCCGUG